rnacentral:sRNA from 1 species
GUUAAAGAACUAAAAACAUUUCCCCUAACACUUUUAACUAAUAACUAGAUUUUAACCCGCGGUACACCGGGGGGACAAUUUAUUUUUUAAAGUUAGUGUAUAUAAAAAUUUGUAAAUUGUAUUUAUCUAUAAAAUAUUUUUAUUUUAUAGUUUACAACUGUUAUUAAGUAACGUCCUGCCAAACCCGUCCCGCAAAACCCAUCCUGCAAAAAAAACUAUUUACUUUAUUAAUGUUGAUCUUAUUUAUGAAUCAUUGUCUAAAUAUUUUAGUCGAUGCGGGAUGUUGAACCCACACAUUUUUCGCCAAUUGGUUAAUAUAUGUUCAUUUUUAAAAUUUUGAAUCACAAAAUAUGACGGAAUUUUUUUUGAGAUUUUUUAAACUAUAUAUUAAUAAUGAUGUUAAAUUUUUUGAUAUAUUAAACUUUUUAUAAGUUUAAAUAUUAAUAAUGUUUUAUAAAGUUUAAAUAUAUAAAUAAUAAU